rfam:Dipodomys ordii contig_38285, whole genome shotgun sequence.
GGGAAGGUAGAUCAGUGGUAGAGCGCAUGCCUUGCAUGCAUGAGGCCCUGGGUUCGAUUCCUCAGCACCA